rnacentral:misc_RNA from 1 species
AGAGGAGAGGAGAGGAGAGGAGAUCACAAUUCCAUAGAGAGAGGGUGGGUUCAAUCAAGUGGUUGAGAAGAAGGGCAUUUGGUUGAUGGGUUGUGGGGGUUUUAAGAGGGAUAUUAUAGGGAUAAAAAGUCUCCUCUGUCAUUCAACUGUUGUUGACUAACAUAAUAUGCCACAAAACUUGAUAGGAAGGUUUAAGGUUUAGGGUUGACGAAAUCAAUAUAUAAGGAUGUAAUAAUUUGAUUUUCAAGAUACAGUUGAUCGACUGAUUAAUUAUGAUAAGGCUUAGAGACUAUUUUGUAAUUCACCAUAUGUUAGAUACAUGGUCAGUUAUUUUUGAGGCAUCAAAAUAUAGUGAGUAAGCUUUGGUGAAGGGACCACAAAUGUGAUUGCUGAAUCUAGUAAUUCUAUUAAGCAUAUGUUAGAUAUAUGGAGAAUGAUAUUUAUAUAAGCGCAGGCUUUUGAAAAAUUAUAUGAGAAACUUAGAACUAAA